AUGGCGGGAUUCCCUCUAGGCGGAGGAGGCCACCACAGCCGCGGCGGACGCGACGACGACGGCAGCCACCCUCCCGGCAUCAACCCCUCCUCGUCUUCCUCCGCGGCCGCCUUCCUCUACGCCACCACCCCAUCGCGCGGCGGGUUCCAGCUAUGGCAGGGGCAGCCGCAGCCGCAGCACGAGCAGCAGCAGCACCCGUUCUACGGCGGCGCCUCCUCCAGCAUCAUCCGCUUCGCCGAUGACCCGGCCGCCUCCGGGUCUUCCUCGCGGGGCGGAGGGAGAGGGUCUGGCGCAGGCGCUGGCGCGGGCACAAUCAGCUGCCAGGACUGCGGCAACCAGGCCAAGAAGGACUGCCCCCACAUGCGCUGCCGCACCUGCUGCAAGAGCCGCGGCUUCGACUGCGCCACCCACGUCAAGUCCACGUGGGUCCCUGCCGCCCGCCGCCGCGAGCGACAUCACCAGCAGCCGCAGGGGCAGGCCUCCGCCGAGCCGUUCAAGCGCCCUCGCGAAGGCGGCCAGCCCUCCGCCACCACUCCUACCACUACUUCUUCAGGGGAGCACCAGCAGCAGAUGAUGGCGGCCGACAGGUUCCCGCGGGAGGUGAGCUCAGAGGCAGUGUUCCGCUGUGUGCGGCUGGGCCCGGUCGACGAAGCCGAGGCCGAGGUGGCGUACCAGACCACCGUCAGCAUCGGUGGCCACGUCUUCAAGGGCAUCCUGCACGACGUAGGCCCAGACACCUCCAUCACCGGCGGGACCCGCACCGCCCACCACGCCGCCGAAGGUUCCUCCCCGAGCACGGCAGCUGCUGGCGGCGCCGAAGGAGGCAGCGGAUCUACGGGUGCCGCCGCAGUGUCGUCAUCGGCUGUGGUGAUGGACCCGUAUCCCACGCCCGGCCCGUACGGUGCUUACGGCGGCGCGCCAUUCUUCCACGGCCACCACCCGAGGUGA
rnacentral:rRNA from 1 species